CGGUGUCCUGGUGAGAAGAGGUGUCCUGGUGAGAAGAGGUGUCCUGGUGAGAAGAGGUGUCCUGGUGAGAAGAGGUGUCCUGGUGAGAAGAGGUGUCCUGGUGAGAAGAGGUGUCCUGGUGAGAAGAGGUGUCCUGGUGAGAAGAGGUGUCCUGGUGAGAAGAGGUGUCCUGGUGAGAAGAGGUGUCCUGGUGAGAAGAGGUGUCCUGGUGAGAAGCGGUGUCCUGGUGAGAAGAGGUGUCCUGGUGAGAAGCGGUGUCCUGGUGAGAUGAGGUGUCCUGGUGAGAAGAGGUGUC